rnacentral:misc_RNA from 1 species
GAUGAAGAACGUAGCGAAAGGCGAUAAGUAAUGUGAAUUGCAGAAUUCAGUGAAUCAUCGAGUCUUUGAACGCACAUUGCGCCCCCUGGUAUUCCGGGGGGCAUGCCUGUCCGAGCGUCAUUGCCGCCCUCAAGCACGGCUUGUGUGUUGGGCCCCCGCCCCCCGGCUUCGGGGGGCGGGCCCGAAAGGCAGCGGCGGCACCGCGUCCGGUCCUCGAGCGUAUGGGGCUUCGUCACCCGCUCUGUAGGCCCGGCCGGCGCCCGCCGGCGACCCCAAUCAAUCUUUCCAGGUUGACCUCGGAUCAGGUAGGGAUACCCGCUGAACUUAAGCAUAUCAAUAAGCGGAGGA